CUAGAUGUGAAAGCCCCGGGCUUAACCUGGGAUGGUCAUUUAGAACUGGCAGACUAGAGUCUUGGAGAGGGGAUUGGAAUUCCUGGUGUAGCGGUGAAAUGCGUAGAUAUCUGGAGGAACAUCGGUGGCGAAGGCGACUCCCUGGCCAAUUACUGACGCUCAUGUGCGAAAGCGUGGGUAGCGAACAGGAUUAGAUACCCUGGUAGUCCACACCGUAAACGCUGUCUACUAGCUGUGUGUGCCUUUAAGGCGUGCGUAGCGAAGCUAACGCGCUAAGUAGACCGCCUGGGGAGUACGGCCGCAAGGUGAAAACUCAAAUGAAUUGACGG
rnacentral:rRNA from 1 species